GCCUUAGUAGCUUAACCAACAAGCACUGGUCUUGUAAACCAAAGAUGGGGACUAAAAUCCCCCUAAGACA
rnacentral:tRNA from 1 species